rnacentral:lncRNA from 1 species
AUCUCCAAUUGUAACCUUGUCCAAUUGAGCACAGAGCUAGGCGCUAAUGUGGAAAACAUACUCGGCUGUGACAAUGCAUUCAAACAGGCUAAGCUCAAAUCGCCGAUGAAAAAGAUGGAUGCAAUGCUUGAAAAGAUCAUUAGCAACACCUUGACCAUUGGUGUCGACAUGGUCCACUUUUAAAGGAACAAAUUAUUAAAAGUUUGUGAUUAGGCCAAUAAAAUAGGCCAUGUCAGCGUUCUUUAAUGAUUUAAUGGAAAACGAUUAAAAAAAUCAAUUGUUGAAAAUAUUAAUGAUGAAAUUGAAAUUUGUUUUUGUUUGGUGACUAAAAUAGAAUCACUCUAAUAUAUUAUGCUAUUUCUUUAAUAGAAAUUUAAAAGAUAUGGCCAAAUUAAUUAAUUUCACAUUGACAUAGUAUCAAACUAAUUAAUAUUACUUUUAUCAUUAUCAUUUAAUAAAUGAUAUUUUCCUCAAUCCAAAUUUUUUUUCAAAACACGUGCUUUUAUAUAGAUCAUAGAAUUGUUACUUUAGAAAUGCAAAAAAAGUACAUGUAUUUAAAAGCGGUAAAUAAAUUUUGCAAUAUAUAUUUAUUACUGAAAACAUUUAGUUAUGUACUUAAGAUAUUUGAAAAUUAAAAAAUAUAUAUAUGAUAUAUGUUAUAUACAUUAGAUAAUAAAAAUAUUAAUAUACUUCAUUUUACUUAAAUUAUAUUCAACUCAUCCAUCCUAGUAUAUUUAGAUUAAUUUGCAAUUUUAAAUUUAAAUUAUUUAAAUAAUUAAAAAUUAUCAUAAUAAAUAAUAAGAACUUAACAUGGUAAAGUGAAAUUUUUUUCAAUAAAACUAUAAUCAUAAAAUAAAGAUUAUAAGAACAUACCAAUAACUCAUGUUAUUUAUCUUUUAUUUACUAGAUUUUAAAAUAAGAUUUUAGUCUAGAAACAUUUUUAUUAGUUUAUAUGAGUUUUCUUUUAUUUAUAUAUUUAUAUAUUUAUAUUUUAUAUUUUAUAUUUUAUAUAUUAUAUAUUUUUAGUGUAUUAAUAUUAUAAGGGGUAAAAUGGUAAUUUAAAGAGUCAAGGAUGGAUAGAGUGGAGCAAAUAUUUACCACAACUUUCUCAUUCAAUUUUCCUAACCUACCAUUUAAAAGAAAACCCUAUUAUUUAGAUUAGAGUACUACAAAAUUUACAGAGCAAUUCAGUUUUCGUCAUCCUAAUGAGAACUCUAAAUAUAGUUAAAGCCUAGUAUUGCCCGACCAGUAAUGAAUACAAUUCCAUUUGAGAUUAAUCCCUCCUUAUUGAUAUGGUUAUCAACUAAUAUGUAGUUUAAUGACGACUCAACUAGGGACCAUGUAGCUUUUCCGAGAUAGUUUGAACAAAUAUGUAGCACAGUGGGCUAUGUUGGAGUUUCAAAAGAGGCAAUCAAGUUACUGCUGAUCCCUUUUGCCCUUGGAGGCCAAAUUCAAGAAUGGUUAGAAGCAUUGGCUUCGGGAACUAUUACAACAUGGGAAGAGUUUUUGCAAUGAUUGUUACAAAGAAUUAUACCCAUUCUUGUGAUGUUAAAGACAAAUGAUGACCUAUUGCAAUUUAAACAAAGUCCUAUUGAAAUGCUUGGUCAAACAUGAGAUAGAUUCAAAAUAAUUGUACAAAAUGCUCUGGAGGUUGGAAUUAAUACGAUCAUUCAAUAACAACACUAUUAUGCACGUAACACCCCCUACCCGUAUCCAUUGCCGAAAUAGGGUACGAGGCAUUACCGGAGUUUACUGAACAUUUUCAAAUAAUUCUAAGUCAUUUAUUAUUCAUAUUUUGAAAAUAAUCAUAACGUCUCUCUACUGGGCCCUCGAAGCCCAAAACAUACAUUAGAAAUCAACCGAAAUAAAAUCAGGAUCAUAGAAAAAAAUUUCGCAAAAUCUUAAAUUAUAUUUUCAUCUAAGUAUUUACCAUUUCAAUGCUCCUUAUAAUUAAACAUGUUACCAUUCAGUCAACAGCUUGGUACUUGUCUAAACGUCAAACAACAACAUUGUUAGUAUUCUUGCACAUAUUUCAUAUAAAUUCAACAUUGAUAUACCUAUUUUCUCAACAUAUCACACUUGAGUUUAAUAAUAGUAUCAACUUACAUAAUUUGCUUGUAUUAACAUAUCAAAGAUAAUUAUAUAUGUACAUGUCACAAAAUAUAUUAUUCUCUUACUAUUUCUUCAUAAGCAUAUAUUAUUCAUUUCGUUAUUUCAAUAUUUCAUGCACCAUCAUUUCCUUAUAUCCUAUGUAUAUUUAUUUCAGUAAUAGUUCAUAUUAAACUUAACAUAAAUUAAAUUCCAUGUACCUAUACUUAUUUCAUUUAUCUAUCUUCUUAAUUAUUUCAUACAACUAUUUUGCACGUAUAUUUCCAUAUGACCAGUUCCUGUAAACAUUUCACACAACCAUUUUGUAUAACCCAUUUCAUAUAACCAUUUGUCAUCUGGUACAUAUUACCUAAAUAUUAGUUGUUCAACAGAUAUCUUAGCAUCUCUCUUCCACAAUCUUAUUUAUCUUUGACAUGAUGCCAUAGUAUCUUUCAACUCUAGUCUUACUCGUUUUCUAUCAUGUUGCCAUGGUAUCUUUCAACCAUGGUCUUAUUCAUUUCAUGUCACGUUGCCAUAGUAUCUUUCAACCAUGGUCUUACACAUUUCAUUUCAGAGAGCACACUCCCGCGAACCUCAUCCUUACAGUGGGAUUACUAGUCCAGGCUAAAUCCCUUGUAAUAUAAACUCAUAGAGAAUUGUCGGGAUUACUAGUCCAGGCUAAAUCCCCUGCAACGACAAUUACUCUAAUGAGCUUGGAUCUGAAUUACCAGUCCAGGCUAAAUUCAGACCCUAAUUCGGAUUACCGGUCCGGGCUAAAUCCAUUUUACACAUAUUCUUCAAGAGGGCUAUAUCAGGAUAGGAUCACCCGUUCGAGCUAGAUCCUUUUUACCGUCUGGAGCUAUUUAACGGAGAGAUCAUAAAGAGCCAUAUCGGGAAGCUAAUCCGGGCUAUAACGAGAAACUCAAUAAAGUCGAAAUCAGGUAGUUCACAAAGAACCAAAUCGUGAAGCUCACGAAAAGCCUAUCGGGAAGCUUCGGAUAGCCAUAUAUCGGGAAGUUCAAGCGAGCACUAUCGGGAGGCUCACAAAGAGCCUAUUGGGAAGCUCAAGAAGAGCUGUAUUUCGGGAUGCUCUUAAGAGCUACGGUGUGUCAACAACACAUGCGGAUCACAACCUAUCGGGACGCUCCGAAGAGCUAUAACGGGAAGCUCGCAAGAACCAUAUAACGGGGAGCUCGAGAGGGCUAAUAUCGGGACGCUCUUUCGAGCUAUGGUGUGUCAGCAACAUAUGCAGAACUACAACCAAUUCGGGAAACUUACAUCCAUCGAUUUUCCUUUGUUCAACAGGAUGUAUCAUUUUAUCGGGCAUUAUCAAAUAUAUCCAUAUCAAUUUCAUAUGCAUGAAAAAAAUACAAAUCACAAGUAUGAUAUUUAAUUCAAGCUUAUAAUUAUGCAUAAUUCUGUUACACGAACUUACCUGACUAAAUUACAAAAAUACCAAGAUUCAGGGGCAUUUUGAUAAUUUUUUUUUCAUUUUCCUCGAUUUUUCACCCGAUCUUAAAUUGAAAAUUUCAUUCAAUUUAUUAAUUUAGAUAAUAAAACAAUUCAUCCUCUUCAAUCUGGUCAUUUUUGACAUUUUUACAAAAUUACCCCUGAAGUUUUACUUUUAUUCAAUUUAGUCCUUAAGCCUAGAACAUACAAAUCAGCCAUGCUAGCUGAAUAUUCAUAUAUAUUUUCCUCCUCCUCCUCUCCAUUCCACAUCCUUAAAUUAUAUAACACACUUGUAAGUAACAUCAUCUAUAAUUUUUAUUAUUUAUUUUUAUGAAUAUUCAAGUUGUUCAUCUAUGUCAUAAUCACUAAAUUAUUUAUAUCUAGAGCUAUAGAACUCAAAAUUAAGAUCCGCUAAUUUUUUAUAAAACUAGAUUCAUAUAUCUUCUUCCCAUAAAAUUUUCAGAAUUUUUGGUUUAGCCAAUAAGUACAGUUUAUUCUUUAAAGUUACCCCUGUUCUGCUAUUUGAAAGUUCUGACCCUUCUUCACUAAAAAUUAAUUAUCUCAUCAUACAGAAUUCAAAUGAUAUUCCCAUUUAUUUCUAUUGAAACUAGACUCAUUCAGAAUUAUAAACAUAUAAAUUUAAACCUCUAAUUAUUAUUUCCAAUUUUUUAUGAUUUUCCAAAGUCAAAAUAGGGGAACUCAAAUUCAUUCUGACCUUGUCUCACAAAAUUUAUUAUAUCUCAUGAUUUACAAAUCCAUUGUUUACACCGUUUCUCUAUGAGAAACUAGAUUCAAUAAGCUUUAAUUUCAUAUUUUUUUUAUCUUCUAUUUCGAUUUCUAAAAUUUAUGGUGAUUUUUCAAAGUUAGUCUACUGCUGCUGUCCAAUAUUGUUUUAGUGCAAGUUAUUUAUUACCAUUCUUCCCGCAAACUUUAAUAAAUUACAAUUUCAUCCCUAUUCAAUUAGCCUCUCAAUUGAGCUGAUUUUUCUCAAUUAACACUUUAUUCUAUCACCUUAAACUACUUUACAACUUUUGGAAAUCACAAUUUCGGCACUAGACUUUAAUUCCAAACAUUUUCACAAUUAGGUCCUAAAAUCAAUUUCCGUCAAUUUUACUUAAUAAAAUUAUCUUAUAUCAAAAUUAAAGAUUCAAUUCUAUGUUUAUUCAUCAUAUGCUUCCAGCACUCAUCCAUAAUAACUUUAAAAAUUAGCCCUUCAACAUAAAACUUAUGAAUUACUUUACAAUUCAAUCAUUAUUUCAUUUCUAACUUGAAUUUCUAUCAAUUAAACCCUUAUUUCAUCAUUUUACUCAACAUGAACAUUAUCUAGAAAUCUAAUAACUUUCAAAAUAUCAACUUAGUUUUAUCAAAAUCUUGUUCCAAAGCUUCUAAAACAUCAAAUUUAAGUAAAAAAUGCUAAAUUGACUUACCUAUUAAACUUCCAAGCUUCACACCUUUUUCUUCUUUCUUUUCUCCUUUUCUUUCUUUUCUUCCCCUGCUCUCUGUUUCGUUUGCUUUGUUUCUUCCUUUCUAUUAUCUUCUUCUUCUAUUUCUUUUUUUUUUAUAUAUAUACACACAUGUAUUUAUACUUAAAUAGUAAGUAUUAUUUAUUUAUUCAUGUGUAUAUUAUUAGUAUAUUUGUAUCCAUUUAUAACCAUACAUUUGUCAUUAUUUAAUAUAUUUAUCAUAUAAAAUCUUAUAAUAAAAUUAUUUAAUUAAUAACUAUCUUUUAUAAAUUAAUAAAUAUCUAUUUAAUAUCUAAUACAUGUUUUACAGAUGUAUGUAUUUUUAUCCAUACACUUGUAUAUUUUAUUUACUAUGCAUUUGUCUUUGUACUAAUUUAUUUAUCAUAUAAAUAUCUUAUAAUAUAAUUAUAAUAAAUUAAUUUAAUAUCAUUUAUUACUAAUAAAUAUAUAUUUUUUAUAAUUUGAAAUCUAAGUAAAAAUCUAAGAUUUUUACUUUAUAUGCCACCUCACUUAUGCUAAAUGGCAUAAUUGCCAUUUUGGUCCUUUUUAUUUUCUUUUAAUCUAUAAUUAAACUUUCACACUUUAUUCAAUUUAAUCCUUUUAUCAAUUAUCCUUAAUUAAGCUAAAUUUACUUAAUUAAACUCUAAUUAACCACUCAAUUAACUUUUUAAAUAUUUUUUAUAAUUAUUUACGGAUCCAUUUUUCAGUAACGGAGACUCGAAAAUACAUUUUUUCGAUAACCGUAAAAUUUGGGUUAUUACAAUGCAGGUUUAGAUCAAGAGAGCAAAGAAUAGUUUGACGUAAUGGUUGGAGGAAGUGUUUGGUCAAAAACUGCUCAGGAAAUUGUUAUGCUCCUUGAAAUAGUGAGCAGUGAUGAUUAUACUUGGAGAAAAAUCAAAGAAAUAGAAUUGAUAGAAGAAGUAAUGAGAACCGAUGAGACGAAAGAAGACAACGAGGAAGACACGGAAGAACAAUUGAGCGAAGAUGAAGAUUGCACUUCAGAUUUUGAAGAAAUCGUAGAAGACAAAUUUUUGAGAAACUACUCGAAAAGCAGUUAGAACACAUCUAUCAACUGGACUGGAAAAGACAAUAUAAAGAACUUCUACGUCAAUCAGAGAAUCUUUCAACCAAGAUGACUCUGUCAAUUAUCAAACCACCUGUGUUGGAAAUAAAACACCUUCUCGCACACUUGAAAUGCGAGUAUUUGGGUGAUAACAACACUUUACCAGUAGUCAUUGCAGCGGGCUUAUCGGUGGAACAAGAGAAAACACUCUAUUUUUCUUUUGCUUCUAACAUGGUAAUUUUGCCAUUUUAUUAAUAAUUUUUUUGGGUAAUUUUUUUUAGGAUUUUCUUGUUUCAUAUAUCUAUUUUUUCUCUAACUAAGAAGGGAAAUUAAAUAAAAGCAAAAGUAGUUAAUUAUAUGCUAAAAUUAGAUUGUGUGGACACAUCUUACGGUGAGACACUAUUUUUAUGAGGGUCAAAAAAAUACUAUAAAAGCUUCACUAGUUCCACAUCUUUAAUUCACUUCUUGCAUUUUAUUUUUCUAUUGUAUUUCAUCCAAAAUAAGAGAAGAGACCAUGGAGGUGAACCAUUUCAUCUUCGCCCUUAUCUCUCUCUCUUGUCUCUUCUCUGUUUCUGCUAAUGUCCCUCCACCCGUUUCCAAUGCUUCUAGCCCUGCUUCUUCAGAACUUUAUGAUAUGAUCGAGGUCAUGUCUGAAUCACCAUCACCAUUUGCAUUCGAUGGUACAACAUUGGAAAGCAUUGAUGAUUUAUUGAGUAUACUACCUAGUGGUGUCGACCCUGCCCUUCAGCAAAUCUGUGGGAACACUGAUCACCCCGUCGAAUGUAUCAUAGCAACUAUGCCAUUCCUAGAUGGGAAUGCUCCUAUUGAGCCUCUUUCUGUCCUUAAAGCUGGGAUUAAAGCAAUGGAUAACCAGACCAAAGAUGCAUUAGCGGAGGUUACAAGGCUCUCAAUGGACCCCACUACCCCUAAAACUAUUGUUCCCAUCCUUCAAACAUGCAUUGAUGUCUACAAUAACAUUCUUAACAGUGAUCAAAAAUCCCUUGAAGCCAUCUCCAACCAUAACCUUGUUCAGUUGAGCACAGAACUAGGCGCCAAUGUGGAAAAUGUACUCGGUUGUGACAAUGCUUUCAAACAGGCUAAGCUUGAAUCUCCAAUGAAGGACAUGGAUGCAAUGCUUGCAAAUAUCAUUAGCAACACCUUGACCAUUGGUGUCGACAUGGUCCACUUUUAGAGGAACAAACGAUUAAAAGGAUGACUACAAACACAUGAAGCCUAAGUGGGAUAUUAUAAUUUUAUUGUUGUAUCCUUUUAAGAGAAGCAGGAAGUAUAUAAGAACCUUUGUCA